UCGAACGGGAAAUAUUUUAUUGAAACUUCGGUCGAUUUAAUUUAUUUCUAGUGGCGGACGGGUGAGUAACGCGUGGGUAACCUGCCUUAUACUGGGGGAUAACAGCCAGAAAUGACUGCUAAUACCGCAUAAGCGCACAGAACCGCAUGGUUCCGUGUGAAAAACUCCGGUGGUAUAAGAUGGACCCGCGUUGGAUUAGCUAGUUGGGCAGGGCAGCGGCCUACCAAGGCGACGAUCCAUAGCCGGCCUGAGAGGGUGAACGGCCACAUUGGGACUGAGACACGGCCCAGACUCCUACGGGAGGCAGCAGUGGGGAAUAUUGCACAAUGGGGGAAACCCUGAUGCAGCGACGCCGCGUGAAGGAAGAAGUAUCUCGGUAUGUAAACUUCUAUCAGCAGGGAAGAUAACGACGGUACCUGACUAAGAAGCCCCGGCUAACUACGUGCCAGCAGCCGCGGUAAUACGUAGGGGGCAAGCGUUAUCCGGAUUUACUGGGUGUAAAGGGAGCGUAGACGGCGCAGCAAGUCUGAUGUGAAAGGCAGGGGCUUAACCCCUGGACUGCAUUGGAAACUGCUGUGCUCGAGUGCCGGAGGGGUAAGCGGAAUUCCUAGUGUAGCGGUGAAAUGCGUAGAUAUUAGGAGGAACACCAGUGGCGAAGGCGGCUUACUGGACGGUA
rnacentral:rRNA from 1 species